CUUGCGCUAUCGGAUGAGCCUAUGUCGGAUUAGCUUGUUGGUGAGGUAAUGGCUCACCAAGGCGACGAUCCGUAGCUGGUCUGAGAGGAUGAUCAGCCACAUCGGGACUGAGACACGGCCCGAACUCCUACGGGAGGCAGCAGUGGGGAAUAUUGGACAAUGGGCGAAAGCCUGAUCCAGCCAUGCCGCGUGUGUGAAGAAGGCUUUCGGGUUGUAAAGCACUUUCAGUGAGGAAGAAGGCCUUGGGGCUAAUACCCCCGAGGAAGGACAUCACUCACAGAAGAAGCACCGGCUAACUCCGUGCCAGCAGCCGCGGUAAUACGGAGGGUGCGAGCGUUAAUCGGAAUUACUGGGCGUAAAGCGCGCGUAGGCGGCGUGAUAAGCCGGUUGUGAAAGCCCCGGGCUCAACCUGGGAACGGCAUCCGGAACUGUCAGGCUAGAGUGCAGGAGAGGAAGGUAGAAUUCCCGGUGUAGCGGUGAAAUGCGUAGAGAUCGNGGAGGAAUACCAGNUGGCGAAGGCGGCCUUCUGGACUGACACUGACGCUGAGGUGCGAAAGCGUGGGUAGCAAACAGGAUUAGAUACCCUGGUAGUCCACGCCGUAAACGAUGUCGACUAGCCGUUGGGGUCCUAGAGACCUUUGUGGCGCAGUUAACGCGAUAAGUCGACCGCCCUNNGGAGNACCGNGCCGCNAAGGUUAAAACUCAAAUGAAUUGACGGGGGCCCGCACAAGCGGUGGAGCAUGUGGUUUAAUUCGAUGCAACGCGAAGAACCUUACCUACCCUUGACAUCGUGCGAACUUUCCAGAGAUGGAUUGGUGCCUUCGGGAACGCACAGACAGGUGCUGCAUGGCUGUCGUCAGCUCGUGUUGUGAAAUGUUGGGUUAAGUCCCGUAACGAGCGCAACCCUUGUCCCUAUUUGCCAGCGAUUCGGUCGGGAACUCUAGGGAGACUGCCGGUGACAAACCGGAGGAAGGUGGGGACGACGUCAAGUCAUCAUGGCCCUCACGGGUAGGGCUACACACGUGCUACAAUGGCCGGUAC
rnacentral:rRNA from 1 species